AUUUACACAAACACAGUACUUACAAAGUUAUGUCCAGAAUGUGAGCAGUUUAUUUUUAGUCUACAUUUGUCCUAGCGCUAACUAAGGAAAGAUUGAUGCAACACAAGUGGUCAUAUUUUCUAACUCUCGGCUGACAUAAACUACAAUAUGAAUUAGCUAAUAGCAAUUACUAUGUAUAAGUAAUCACAUCACGGGUGAGUAAAACACUUUCUAGAAAUCGAAAGUAAUCCGAAGAUUAGUUUCAGCGUGCAGCAUCGUCUACCAUCGUUCACAUCCCACCAUUCACUUCCUGAAGUUCUCAAAAAAUGAGUGAACCCUUACUCACCUCAUUUUGUUAUUACAUUUACAUUUAAGUCAUUUAGCAGACAAUCUUAUCCAGAGCGACUUACAGCAUCUUUGGUCAGACAGACGAUCACGUGAAACCCAGAAUGCAUUGUAUGUCAACAAACCUGGCUCCACACAUAGCUGGAAUUAGCUUAGCUCAUCAAUCAGUACAACCUUCAAAAAAUUAUUUUACACACAUACUAUGUGCCCAUUACAAUCUAUGCAAAUGUAACAGUUUCUUCCGUCCCUCUCCUCACCCCUACCUGGGCUCGAACCAGGGACCCUCUGCACACAUCAACAACUGACACCCACGAAGCAUCGUUUCCCAUCGCGCCACAAAAGCCGCGGCUCUUACGCGAUUUAUCACCGGUACCGUAAUUUCCGGACUAUUAAGCGCACCUGAAUAUAAGCCGCACCCACUGAAUUUUUUUUAAAGUAUUAUUUUGAACAUAAAUAAGCCGCACAUGUCUAUAAGCCGCAGGUGCCUACCGGUACAUUGAAAAAAAUGAACUUUACACAGGCUUUAACGAAACACGGCUUGUAACAAAAAUAAAUAGGCCUUAACGAAACACGGCUUGUAACAAAAAAUAAAAAAUGACCAGUAAGCUUUAGUUGUCUUUUUGCACCGAGUCAAUUCCUCACGCUGCUGUUUCCAACGUCUUAUCGACUCAUUAAGACCAAGCUCCCGUGCAGCAGCUCUAUUUCCUUUUCCAACAGCCAGAUCAAUCGCCUUCAACUUGAAAGCUGCAUCAUAUGCAUUUCUCCAUGAUGAGGGUGACAAAAUGACUACCAUAAUCAGAAUCAUGGGAAGUUUGAGAGCGCUCGAUUUAAUCUAAACAGUAAACAAAAAAGUUGUUUGACCUUAACCCGUUCGGCAAUUUCAUUGGUCUAAUGAAAGCUUCAUGCCGCCAAAAAACUGAGCACAUCACAGAAUGUGUUUUUUUGGCAGAAAAAAAUUGAAAGCGGGAAAAAUCCAUAUAUUAGCCGCGUCAUUGUUUAAGCCGCGAUGUUCAAAGCGUGGGAAAAAAGUUGCGGCUUAUAGUCCGGAAUUUACGGUAAUUGAUAAACGUGAAUAAAAUAGUAAAUAUAUCAAUAAUACCACACAACAUUUUCUGAUUGUGAUUUAUUAAUACAAAUGGCGCGUGCAGGCAGUCAAUCAUGUAACCUAUCACUCCCACUCUGAGCCAUUCAGUGUUGUUGUUUAUGUAUAUAGCUAAUGAGCUAAGCUGUAGCAUUAGCAAUGUCUUUCAAAAGGAGACAACUCACAAAUGUGGAAAUUCUGGAGAUUUAAAAAAAUUCUGACAAUGAGUCUGAAAGUCAGGAAUCAGAUUCUAACAGUGAGGAGCUGCCCCCCAGCCAUUGAGAACCCUGAAUCUGAGGACCCUUGUCCACUGACAAAGUCCUAGUUCAAUUUGAAGAUGCUGGUGGUGAUGGAGGCAGACCGAUAGUGGAUGAAGUACAGGAGUUCUGUGGUAGCUGGAAGGCUGCUAGCCAUUGCACCCUCCUGGCCCUGCUGUUUGCGUUGAUGAGUCCCAGUCUGGAGUGCAAAGCCCCUUGCCAUUUCCAUCUGAGGCAGUGCUUCAAGUUGUUUCUGACAGAGGAGCUGGUGGGAGACAUGGUAGAGACCAAUCGCUAUGCCUUGGAGCUACAGGAGAAGAGAGAGCCAGGAGUAGGUGGGGACAACCACAAUUAGUGAAAUGUAUACCUUUCUGGUGACAGUCCUUCUCAUGGGGAUAGUAAAGAACUCCUCCAUACUUUGCCACCCUCCUUUCUAGAGGUCGACCGAUUAAUCGGAAUGGCCGAUUAAUUAGGGCCGAUUAAGUUUUCAUAACAAUCGGAAAUCGGUAUUUUUGGACGCCGAUUUGGCAAAGUGUAUAUGAAAUACAAAUGGUAUAGAGAGAAAUAGUCCUAUAAUUCCUAUAAUAUCUACAACCUAAAACUUCUUACCUGGGAAUAUUGAAGACUCAUGUUAAAAAGGAACCACCAGCUUUCAUAUGUUCUCAUGUUCUGAGCAAGGAACUUAAACGUUAGCUUUUUUACAUGGUACAUAUUGCACUUUUACUUUCUUCUCCAACACUGUUUUUGCAUUAUUUAAACCAAAUUGAACAUUAUUUAUUUGAGGCUAAAUUGAUUUUAUUUAUGUAUUAUAUUAAGUUAAAAUAAGUGUUCAUUCAGUAUUGCCAUAGUUGUCAUUAUUACAAAUAAAUAAAUUUGGCCGAUUUUAAUCGGUAUCGGCUUUUUUUUGGUUCUCCAAUAAUCGGUAUCGGCGUUGAAAAAUCAGAAUCCGUCGACCUCCUAAUUGUUUCCAGAGGCAGUUUGGAGCUCGGUAUUGAGUGUUGCAACCAAGGACAGACUAUUUUUACGCGCUUCAAUACCCGCCGAUCCCUCGUGUGGCCUACCAUUUCACUCAGACGUUUCCCACUUCACAAUAACAGCACUUACAACUGUGGCAGCUCUAACAGGGCAGAAAAUGGACAAACUGACUUGUUGGAAUCCUAUGACAGUGCCACUUUAAGUCACUGAGCUCUUUAGUAAGGCAAUUCUACUGCCAAUGUUUGUUUUUGGAGAUUGCAUGCCGGUGUGCUCUAUUUGAUGCCUCUCAGCAACGGUGUGGCUGAAAUAGCAGAAUCCACUCAUUUGAAAGGGUGUCCACAUAUGCACUGUGUGUGUGUGUGAGUGUGUGACACACAGUGCAUUCAGAAAGUAUUCAGACCCCUUGACUUUUUACGUUAUAGCCUUAUUCUAAAAUGGUUUAAAUCUAGACAAUACUCCAUAAUGAAGCAAAAACAGGUUUUUCAAUUUUUUUGUUGUUGCAAAUGUUAAACUGAUAUCACAUUUACAUAAGUAUGCAGUACUUUGUUGAAGUACCUUUGGCAGCAAUUACAGCCACGAGUCUUCUUGGGUAUGAUGCUACAGAUCCUCUCAAGCUCUGUCAGGUUGGAUGGGGAGUGUUGCUGCACAGCUAUUUUCUGGUCUUUCCAGAGACGUUAGAUCGAGUUCAAUCUUGGUUUCAUCAGACCAGAGAAUCUUGUUUCUCAUGGUCUGAGAGUCUUUAGGCACAUUUUGGCAAACUCCAAGCGGGCUGUCAUGUGCCUUUUACUGAGGAGUGGCUUCCGUCUGGCACUCUACCAUAAAGUCCUGAUUGAUGGAGUGCUGCAGAGAUGGUUGUCCUUCUGGAAGGUUCUCCCACCUCCACAGAGGAACUUUAGAGCUCUGUCAGAGUGACCAUAAGGUUCUUAGUCACGUCCCUGACCAAGGCCCUUCCCCCCGAUUAUUCAGUUUGGCCAGGCAGCCAGCUCUAUGAAAAGUCUUGGUGGUUUCAAACUUCUUCCAUUUAAGAAUGAUGGAGGCCACUGUGUUCUUGGGGACCUUCAAUGCGGCAGACAUUUUUUGGUACCGUUCCCCAGAUCUGUGCCUAGAGCUCCGAGACAGGAUUGUGUCUAAGGACAAUUCCUUCAACCUCAUUGCUUGGUUUUUGCUCUGACAUGCACUGUAAACUGUGGGCCCUUAAAUACACAGACAUGUGUGCCUUUCCAAAUCAUGUCCAAUCACUUGAAUUUACCACAGGUGGACUCCUACCAAGUUGUACAAACAUCAAGGAUGAUCAAUGGAAACAGGAUGUAUCUGAGCUCAAUUUUGAGUCUCAUAGCAAAGGGUCUGAAUACUCAUGUAAAUGAAGCGUCUGUUGUUUUUUUUAAUACAUUUGCAAAAAUGUCCUCAUCUUUUUUGGGAUUGUCAUUAUUGGCUAUUGUGUGUAGAUUGCUGAGGACUAUUUUUUUAAAUCUAUUUUGGAAUAAGGCUGUAAUGUAACAAAGUGUAAAAGGUCAAGGGGUCUGAAUACUUUACAAAGGCACUAUAUAUAUAUCCUUUAAGAGUGUGCUCCUAAUCUAAGCUCGUUACCUGUAUAAAAGACACCUGGGAGUCAGAAAUCUUUCUGAUUGAGAGGGGGUCAAAUACUUAUUUCCCUCAUUAAAAUGCGAAUCAAUUUAUAACAUUUUUGACAUGCGUUUUUCUGGAUAUUUUUGUUGUUAUUCGGUCUCUCACUGUUCAAAUAAACCUACCAUUAAAAUUAUAGACUGAUCCUUUCUUUGUCAGUGGGCAAACGUACAAAAUCAGCAGGGGAUCAAAUACUUUCCCCCCCUGUGUGUGUGUGUGUGUGUGUGUGUGUGUGUGUGAGUGAUUGAAUUAUGAGGCCUACAUUUUGCAAUGUACAAAUUAUAAUUAUUUUCUGGCCCCACUGCCAUUUGCUCCGACAAAUACUUUCCCGCAGCUGAAUCCAUUUGCCUACCCUUCACGUGUAUGUUAUCAGCUGUGAGAAAAGUGUGGUGAAGCAGCCCUGUCGUUUGAGACACUACGUCACUAUUCUUAGCUGUUUUCCUGCUCAAUCUGUUGUCUUGCAACCAUGGCCUGUACCCUUUUGUUAAUAUAGGUUGAAGAUACCCAUUAACUUCAACCUAUGUAAAUAAGGUGAGAAACUUAAGGCAGGUUUGCUAUUGAGAAUGCACAAGGUAAGGUAGGAGGUGAUACUGGGUGCAGGUGUUCCAUCCUGUUAGAGGACAUGAAAGAUAGGGCAGGAAUACAGUUAGAGUUUUAGCUCCCAUUUCCUUUCCACUUUGAUGGAAUCAAAGACAAACUAUACAAACAUAUUUCCCAUUCCGCUGAAUAUACAGUACCUGUACAAAAACAUAUAGUACUUAUGAAUACAUUUUAUCUAUAGAUAACUAGAAAGGCAUCAAAUCUACAUAUUAACCUACAGCUAGUCUCGCUCUCAACCCUGAAAAGCCAUGCAGCUGAGUGAAACUAACUAUUACGUGUCACAUAUCAAUUUGGUACCUUGGGUCUAGCACCAACUCACGAAACCCCCGUUUCUCGGCCGUGUAAAUUGGGGCUACGUCUUUGCAGAUAUGUCAGACAGAGACAGACAACAGUAUACAGACAGCUGUGGUGAUGGUGAUGUCCCUGCUGAAGUGUUUGUUGUUCUACUUCUCAUUCAAUGAGUUGACCACAGCAGCAGAAGCAAUUCUCUGGGUGAAGACAGGGGAGAAGUUUACCAUGAAGUGCUCCACCACUCUAAAAGACCAGGACGGAAUGUACCUGUAUGUUGGGCUGGACAGGGACAGGGAGGUGUUGUAUUACUACCAGCGUGGCUCCAAGCUGACCCCCAGGAAAGGCUACUGGGAGAGAGUGAAGACUGAGGGACCUGUGGACCAACUGACCAUCAUCGUCAGUAACCUGACCAUACAGGACACAGGUGUCUACCUGUGUAUUUACACAAAAUUCAAUGAAACCACGAAUGAAAAUGAAAUCAACCAAGGAAGAGGCUCCACUCUGGUCGUGGUGAAUGACGAUGACCCACAGCUGCCAUGUCCUACAGCUACUGCAGUAACGCUGACCCCCUUUCACCCAGCCAAUGAGAAGCCGUGCGCAUCUGGCGUGGUAAACAUCAUCAUCAUCAUCAUCACCACCACCAGCCUCUUGACCAUCCUACUGUGUGCCAUCUUCCUCAUCUGGCUCCCUCCACGGGUGAAGAGGUGCUGUAACCAGGGAGGAUCCACACCCCAGGUCUUUCCUGACUCGGUCUAUGUAGAAAUGGCCAGGAAUCACAAUUAUCAACCAGACACACAGCAGGUAGAAUCGUACCCCUACUCUGUGUCUACCAAAGGAGGAACUAGGACCACUGAGUAGCUUCUUCAAAUGCCUUUUCUGAAUAUUGCUUCUUUGCUUUCUCAGAAUUGAAAAGCCUGUUCUGCUGUAUUUCACAGUUCUAGCCUCAAUGCAAGUCUUUGUGGUAAAUUGUUUGUGUGUGUCGCACCAUACCAUGCUUGUGUGUGUGAAUAAAAUCUCUAUAUGGAAAGUAUAGGAGGGAACAGCCAAUGUUAUAUUCCAGGGCUAUUCAACUAUAUUCUUACGGGGGCCAGAUGUAAAAAAGGUUAAUUGCAGGGAGCCGGACAUUUUCCACAUGCGACGCACACACACACAAAUAAAGCACUUUUCUUCUAAUGAAAUGUUGCUAAAAGUAGUUAGGGAAGAAGUGGAAAGUGCUCGAUCAACGUGAGUUUAGGUGCAACCAAAAAAGUGCUCCUCAUUGAAAAGGAAAAGGCUCAAUGCUUGCUCACCAUUUUAACUAUUAAAAGAUUCUUAUAAGUAAUUUGGUGAUUUGAAAAUCAUCUGAAAACUAAGUAUCUCAAUAAAUAACAGACAACAACCAUAGUACUUUUCAUUUUGGCACUAAACUUCAGAUUUUGAUGCAGAUAUUUUAUGAAUGGUCAGAAUUGAUCAAAGGGCCAGUCUAAAUUACUGAAUGGGCCGGAUCUGGCCCGUGGGCCGCCAGUUGAAUAUCCCUGUUUUAGUCCAUAAGGUGUACAGUUGAUAGUGAUGGAGGCCUCUCUAUAACUUUUUUCAAUACAUCAGGUCAUAAGAUUUAUAUUCGUUUUAGUUCUGAACAAUAGUGUAGGCUGUGUUGUUCUCUAGUGUUUUUAGGUGAAAAGCUGUUCCUGUGCAUGGUGUCUGCCACAAAGUUAAAAUGAGAACUGUUUGUUAAGACUUUUAUUAUAUUUUAUCAUAGGUACAAAUAUUUUAGCUGCCUAAACUUCAUCAGGUACAUCAGGAUAUAAGCCAUUUUUACAUUACAUUUGAUUAUUCUAUGGUUUUAGUUGAGAUAGCUAGUAGGUUAAAACCAUAAUGAUCUGAGUAAAAAUGUUUCAUGCUGAUACGGAGUAAUGAGUGCAUCUUGUGGUUGGAAAAAUAAUUAUUCAUUUUUACCAAGUGACGUAGUAUUUGUCUUACACUAUGAGUCAGUUUUUUACUUAUGUUUCAACUUCCUAACAGCUUUUUUCACUUUAAAAUAGUUGUAACUGUGUAUUGUAUCUUUUUAAAGGAAGAAAAUAUUCUCACCAUUUGCCUUUUAAUCAAAGUAUUGAUAUAUUCAUGUGUAAUUUAACUUGUGUAUUGAUGUUUAUGUUGUAUUUGUGUAUGUGGUACGCAUUGGUGAUGUUCAGCUAUAUUGUAUGUUUUGGAAAGCUUUCUAUCUCAACCAAGUGAAGACAAGUUCAGACAGGAAACCAGAGUAUUUGCAUCAGCUGAUAUUGCACCAAUUAGAUUCACUCUACCGCUUUCUGACCACCCACCCCAGACUCCACCUGCCUUGUUCGCUGUUUAUUAUUAUUAUUAUUAUUAUUAUUAU
rnacentral:lncRNA from 1 species